CCUACGGGAGGCAGCAGUAGGGAAUCUUCCGCAAUGGACGAAAGUCUGACGGAGCAACGCCGCGUGAGUGAAGAAGGUUUUCGGAUCGUAAAACUCUGUUGUGAGGGAAGAACAAGUACCAAUUAACUACUGGUACCUUGACGGUACCUCACCAGAAAGCCACGGCUAACUACGUGCCAGCAGCCGCGGUAAU
rnacentral:rRNA from 1 species